rnacentral:rRNA from 1 species
AGAACGUCGUGAGACAGUUCGGUCCCUAUCUGCCGUGGGCGUUGGAAGAUUGAGAGGGGCUGCUCCUAGUACGAGAGGACCGGAGUGGACGCAUCACUGGUGUUCGGGUUGUCAUGCCAAUGGCAUUGCCCGGUAGCUAAAUGCGGAAAAGAUAAGCGCUGAAAGCAUCUAAGCGCGAAACUUGCCUCGAGAUGAGUCUUCCCUGGGGCUUUAAGCCCCCUGAAGGAACGUUAAAGACUAUGACGUUGAUAGGCUGGGUGUGUAAGUGCAGCGAUGCAUUGAGCUAACCAGUACUAAUGAUCCGUGAGGCUUAACCUUACAACACCGAAGGUGUUU